rnacentral:rRNA from 1 species
UAGGGAAUCUUCCACAAUGGACGCAAGUCUGAUGGAGCAACGCCGCGUGAGUGAAGAAGGUUUUCGGACCGUAAAGCUCUGUUGUUGGUGAAGAAGGAUAGAGGUAGUAACUGGCCUUUAUUUGACGGUAAUCAACCAGAAAGUCACGGCUAACUACAUGCCAGCAGCCGCGGUAAUACGUAGGUGGCAAGCGUUGUCCGGAUUUAUUGGGCGUAAAGCGAGCGCAGGCGGAAGAAUAAGUCUGAUGUGAAAGCCCUCGGCUUAACCGAGGAAUUGCAUCGGAAACUGUUUUCUUGAGUGCAGAAGAGGAGAGUAGAACUCCAUGUGUAGCGGUGGAAUGCGUAGAUAUAUGGAAGAAUACCAGUGGCGAAGGCGGCUCUCUGGUCUGCAACUGACGCUGAGGCUCGAAAGCAUGGGUAGCGAACAGGAUUAGAUACCCUGGUAGUCCAUGCCGUAAACGAUGAGUGCUAAGUGUUGGGAGGCUUCCGCCUCUCAGUGCUGCAGCUAACGCAUUAAGCACUCCGCCUGGGGGAGUACGACCGCAAGGUUGAAAC